rnacentral:rRNA from 1 species
UACGUAGGUGGCAAGCGUUGUCCGGAAUUAUUGGGCGUAAAGCGCGCGUAGGCGGUUCUUUAAGUCUGAUGUGAAAGCCCACGGCUCAACCGUGGAGGGUCAUUGGAAACUGGGGGACUUGAGUACAGAAGAGAAGAGUGGAAUUCCACGUGUAGCGGUGAAAUGCGUAGAGAUGUGGAGGAACACCAGUGGCGAAGGCGACUCUUUGGUCUGUAACUGACGCUGAGGCGCGAAAGCGUGGGGAGCAAACAGG